rnacentral:sRNA from 1 species
UCUCAUGCCGUCUUCACCUUCGCUCUUCGUUGCGGCGCUCAAGGCCCCUCCUCCUCCGGAUUUGGAUUCGGUUUGUGAUCCUGAUAGGUGUUCUUCCCAACCAUAAGUGUUUAAUCCAAUAUAUUUUCAUUUGACUUGAUGCGUUGCUUGCUGCUUUCUUGCGUCGUCUCGAUUCAACUGUUUCCCGUUUUUCUUCUCUGAACCGAGCAAUGGCUGCGCUAUGAAUUUGGAUUUGAAUUUGAAUUUUUUUUACAACAACGCACAUGUAAAGAGUCCCCGGGUUCUUGAUCCUGAAUACCCGGGUGCCUAACCUUGGUGUGCGAGAGCUAAACCUUCGCCGGCUAUCCACGCUUCCUACCAGCAGGCGGGCGCUUCUUCGCCCUGUUCGCUUCUCGCGUGAUUCGCCGCACAUUUUCGAAUUUUUUUUAUUUCACCUCCGUUUUUUCUUUUUGCCUUCUUUGUUUAUUUCGUUUCGAGAUCCUCCUGGCGUAGUCGAUUCAGCGGCAGUUUUUCUUUAAAAUUUAUUAUUAUUAUUAUUAUUAUUAUUAUUAUUAUUAUUUUGCUGUUGACAAACAGGGCUCAUGGAAUUUAAUGAGUUUUGACAGUUGUCCG